rnacentral:snRNA from 1 species
AUAUUUGGUUUAAUAAAAAAAAAAAAAAAAAAUCUGUUCUUAUCAGUUUAAUAUCUGAUACGUCCCCCAUCCGGGGACUACAUAUUAAAUGGAUUUUUAGAUCACGGAGCUGGAGCCGGGGCUUGCUCCGUCCACUCCAUGCAUCGGCCUGGUAUUGCAGUGUCUCCAGGAACGGUGUGCUUUCC